rnacentral:rRNA from 1 species
UACGGAGGGUGCAAGCGUUGUCCGGAUUUAUUGGGCUUAAAGGGUGCGUAGGCGGCCCGUUAAGUCAGUGGUGAAAGCCUCCAGCUCAACUGGAGAACUGCCAUUGAUACUGGCGGGCUUGAGUACAGACGAGGUUGGCGGAAUUGAUUGUGUAGCGGUGAAAUGCAUAGAUGCAAUCAAGAACACCGAUUGCGUAGGCAGCUAACUAGGCUGUAACUGACGCUGAGACGCGAAAGCGUGGGGAGCGAACAGG